GUGCUGAAAAUAUGAUCUUGGGUUGAUUUCAAACUUGGCAUGAAUGUAAGGCAAAAUGUAUUUGUUUCUAAUAUCUGAAUCUGCUUGGUGACUCACUUAGCACUAAAGGCAUUUCUAAUUUGGCAAAUUUUUAAUUGACUGCUGACAGUAACCACGUCAUUUCCAGAUCACCAUUUGACCAUUUAUGGCUUCAAUUUUGGCAAACUUGUCAAAAGUAAUAUCAUUUCCCAUCUACAAUACCUGAAAUGUUCGAACUACCCACGGACCUGGCCACUUACUCAUGGUUUAGCUGGCCGUUAGUCACUCACCUAAGCCGCACAUUAAGAUUGCAGCGGGCUGGGAACAAAGAAAAAUCUCGAGAUCCCCCCGCUUGGGGGCAUGAUCCAUAGCCGAUCAGACCCGAUGAGCCGUUAAAUAGAAUAUCGUAAACCUCAAACCCAAAUGAUCGGCAAUGAAACGAGUACGGACCAGCUUUGGAAUCGACCUCGCCCCUUGGUCAUCAUCAUCAUCAUCAUCGUCUUACCCAAGCCCCGCCACUUCGAUCAUCUCGAGUAUAAGUCAAUGGGGCAUGAACAUGAAUAGCGGAAACCGAACCAAAACCAAAUUGUAACGUUCAUAUGGUUAAUAAGAAGGAUUCCCCUCUGGCGAAAGAACCUGUUGUUAAAUAUUAAUAAUUUAAAAUACAUUUUCAUGCUGGGAUCAUAAGUAUUUUAGUUCGUAUUUUUAUGAACCCAUUUUUUCAUUCAUAAACAUACCAGCUAUUACUAGGAAUAGAUUAUAAGUUCUAUUAAGAAACCCUUUAUCAUAAGUACUCUUAAUGAAAACAAUAACAAACAAUUUAAGUGUAUGAAUAAUGCAAUCUGAAUAUUUCGAAAUUUAUUUUUUUGAGUGCUCCGGGUAUUAUACACUGAAAUGUUCGAUGACCGAUAAUUUGCGCAAAAACAAGGCAAGCCAAUCGAUGUGUUUUGCCUUCUUUGUGGGCUGGUGAAAAUUGUAAAACCAGUGGCGAAAGGGAAAAUUGCGGGGGCGAUAAAUACUUGGCUAAGUUUGAACGCUCGAGUAAUUCGCAAGCACGCUGAAAAUGAAAUUCAAUUGCGAAAUUAAAUUUCAUUGAAUUUAAUUGCCGGCAUGAUCGGAUCGGAUCAAACAAACAAAUCGAACGCUCUAAUCAAAGCCAACGGAGCAUGAAAUCCGCCAAGUGACUUCUGAACAUUCCUCCGUUUAAUGGAGGGAGGAGAUUGGAUCUGGUUUCAUUUCAGUGUAUUUCCAGUCCCUGGGUGUGGUCCGGAUGCAGUUCGCGAUAAGGUUGGAGAUCGUAUAUUCUUGUACUACCCAUAAACAUAUAUCUGUCCGUGCCUUAUCCGACUGGUGCUCAUUUCUUCUAUAGAGUGAAACACUUCCUUUAACUUCCCCAGCUGAUAAAUGGACAAAAGGGAAAGUAACUGAAUAACAAGAUGAAUAUUUUAUUUAUUAAGCUCUGCUUUCGUUGCAGCUGCUCGAUAAGUCGGAAAUCGAUUAAUAUUUUAUCGUUUCUAAUUUAUUAAUCUUUUGAAGCUCAAUAGGUCAUCAAUCUACAUAUGUAGAUGUAAACAAAGAAGUGAUACAAUUGAAAUAGUUAAAUCGUUAGUAAAUAAACUAAAGGUUAAGCAUAGUUCAAGCACAUUUCAAGGUCAGUGUAAUUUCUGCACAACUUUUACUGCACCAAGUUCGUAAGUCGUUAGGCCUUUUUUCACGCUAUAUAUCUGUAUAUCUGUACGACCUUACCAAACAGACAUACCACCCAUCUGCUACCUAAAAACUUAAUAGCAGUGACCCAAAAAGAAAACCAAAAAAAAGAGUGCUUAAAAAUAAGUACGCUAAUAGCGCGCAAAUUAUACAAGAAACGCAUCAAAAAGAUUGGCCAACAUUAAUGCCUAAUCGUUUUAACCUCUUGUGAGUAUAAAAAGUAAAGUUACUAACAAACUGUUCGUCAAACUUUGUUUAUAAACGAAGUUUAUAAUUCCCGGACACUAAGCCGGACAUGAUCUUGGCGAAGAAGUCGGCUUUGGUGUGCAAAAGAUUAGUUUUUUUCUCAUUUUUUCCGCUCUUUGGCCCAACGAAAGUUGUUCGCCAGCUCUGACAAUUUUUCAGCAUUAACCCAAAUAAAAGUAAAGCAGCCAAAAUAAAAAUAUAAGAUGUAUUGGCCAAAACAAAGAGCGAGGAGAAUAUAGAGGUCGAAUGUGUGCCAUUGUGUCGAUUGAAUAUUUGAUGCGCCGAAGAAGAAACCUUCUAAUUAUGCAGAACGAAGAACCGCUACAAGAAAGCAAACAACGCCCACUCUUCUGAGCGAUUCUUUUUGAGAAAAAAAAAAAUUCCAUUAAAA
rnacentral:sRNA from 1 species